rnacentral:rRNA from 1 species
UACGGGGUGGGCAAGCGUUGUUCGGAAUUACUGGGCGUAAAGGGCUCGUAGGCGGCCAACUAAGUCGGAUGUGAAAUCCCCAGGCUUAACCUGGGAACUGCAUCCGAUACUGGAUGGCUUGAAUCCGGGAGAGGGAUGCAGAAUUCCAGGUGUAGCGGUGAAAUGCGUAGAUAUCUGGAGGAAUACCGGUGGCGAAGGCGGCAUCCUGGACCGGCAUUGACGCUGAUGAGCGAAAGCUAGGGGAGCAAACGGG